rnacentral:ncRNA from 1 species
UAGGCGAAACCCGAAAAGCCAUAAAAGAGUAGGGC